AAGGCCGGGCCGCACCGCCCCCUUCCGCCCUUCGCCGCGGCGACGGGUGAUGAUGAGGCCGGGAAGGCCGGGCUGCUGUGGGGGAAAGGAGCGAAGGGAACGCGGCGCCAGGCCGGCAUGAGAUUUUUAAGGCAAUUAAAAAGCUUAUUCCCUUGUCUCCUGAAAGUGAAGUAUUUUGGAUCAGAAACAUUAUUUCCAACACUGUGGAUGCUUUGGAACCAAUCUUUUAAUCGAUUGCCUGAACAUCUUCCAAAAAAUCAGAGACAAAGUUUCUUCACCCUGCAGGAGAUGGCCGAAAAGAAACCUGACCUUGAUAGAUUCUUGCCGCAUCCCAGAGUACGUGGAAUGACCACCCUUGACAAAGCUGCUUUCAAAAAUGAUAUUAUCAUCCCAGCUCUUCUAGUUAACAAAGACAUAACAAGCAAUCUGCUGAAGUCUCUUAAAGGAGUACUACUCCAGCGACCAGGUCUCAAGAGAGUCGUUGAAGACCCUGACGAUGAAAACAGAAAGUACAUUUUGUUAGACCCACAUAAAAUAUCUGCUGAUGGUUCUCUGGGUGAAUCUGAGCAACAGAUCUUAAAAAGCUUUGGUAUUAACCCUGAAAUAAUCAAGUAUAACAUGGAACUUACUUAUGAUAAUUUCAAGACAGAAGAAAUUCUGAAAGCAGUGCUUCCUGAAGGCCAGGAAAUCACCACAGCCUUUAGCAGAAUUGGCCAUAUUGCUCACAUGAAUUUGAGAAGCCAUCAGCUGCCUUAUAAACAUUUAAUUGGGCACGUUAUUGUUGACAAAAAUCAAGGAAUAACCUGUGCUGUAAAUAAAAUCAAUAUUAUAGACAGCAUGUAUCGAAACUUUGAAAUGGAGCUACUAGCUGGAGAUGGGGCCAACAUGAUAACAAAGGUUAAGGAAAACUAUAUCUCAUAUGAAUUUGAUUUUUCCAAAGUCUAUUGGAAUCCUCGCCUCUCUACCGAACAUUUGCGGAUUGUCAACCUUUUAAAGCCAGGAGACCUUCUCUUCGAUGUCUUUGCAGGGGUGGGGCCUUUUGCAAUCCCUGCAGCAAAAAAAACCUGCAUUGUGUUUGCAAACGACCUCAACCCUGAAUCAUGCAAGUGGCUCCAGCACAACUGUAAAUUAAAUAAAGUGGACAAAAAAGUCAAAGUCUUCAACCUGGAUGGCAGGAAUUUCUUGAAAGGGCCAGUGAAAGAAGAACUGGACAAGCAUCUCUCUUCGAAGGAAUGGAAAAAUUCUGUACACAUCAUCAUGAAUUUGCCAGCCAUGGCAAUUGAGUUCCUGGAUGUCUUCAGGCAUCUCUUGAAUGGAGAGCCAGUCAGUAGUGAACUUCCUACAGUGCACUGCCACUGUUUUUCCAAACAUGAUAACCCUACGCAAGAUGUUCAAGAAAGAGUUGAAGCUUUACUGGGAACUUCCUUACAUGGUCUUUGUUCUGUUAAAUGGGUGAGAAAUGUGGCACCCAAUAAAGAAAUGAUGUGCAUUACCUUUCAACUUCCAGCUGAGGUGUUAUACAAGCCGCUGUCUCCUCUGACAGAUGAUCCAGAAGAACCUCCAUCUAAGCGACUAUGCCCAAAUGAAAAUUGUGCUGAAGAAAAUAAUCAAACCAACUAGGAGAUACGUGGAUCAUGACAGAAUAGAAUUUUAAUUCCAUUUUUCAAGAAUGACAGUUGUUGCAGUCUCCAAUGUGGUUCCGAUUUCAUUGCUCAGAACUCAAGAUACUGAUGGUGAGAACGUAACAAGCCGCCUGGUUUGGAAAACCAUAUCACAGAAAGAAGAUUGCUAUGACUUUUCAUCAGAGCAAAAUACUGUGUUGGACUACAGCUCCCUUGGUUAUGCUGGCUGACUAUUAUGGAACGAAUCAGAUUUGAGAAGACUGAUUUCAUAAAACACAUAUCAAUUCAUAUUAUAGUUUACACAAUAUCCUAAGCUGAAAGAUUUGUUUCUGGUUACAAGGCACUUUUUCCACAAAGUUUCAGUAAUUCAAACAGGAGGAGGAAAAGAAUAGAUAAGGUAGAAAUGGGUGAACAAUGCAUUCUUCGAUUGCAUUUAAAUUCUAUAUCAGAGUUCCACCACCACCCCGGGCUGCGGUCCAUUACUAGGCCUUGAGCCUUUCAGAACAGGGCCGUGGAAAUGGUGGACGAGCAUAUGUGCGAGUGCAUCCCCAGUCACACAAGCAGCGGGUGAGUGCAUGUGCAUGCUCCAUUUGCACAAACAGUGGGCGCAAGUGCCCACUGCUCACACAAAUGGAGCUGCGUAUGCAUGAAUUAGCCCAUCAUGCAUGUGCAGAACCCUCUCCACUCCUCCUUGGUGGUCCACAAAGCCGAAAAGAUUGUGGAACUCGGUUCUAGAUCAUCCUUUCCCAACGUGGGUGACAUCCAAGUGUGUCAACUUCAAUUCCCAGAAUUCUCAUCAAUGGCCAUUCUUGCUGUGAAAUUCUGGGAUUUAAAGUUCUCACUACUGGAAAUGACCAAGGCUGGAAAAUACUUGUUCUAGAUGUCUAUUAAAAUAUUAAUCUCCCAGCUUUAAGUGAAAAGAUAAAUUUUAAGGAUCAAUCUGAAGAGAGAAAUGGUGCUGCACACAUUUUCCAGGGGAAAUUUCUAGGCACAAGGAAAUACGAAAGAAAUGAGGCAAAGCCAUCUUUUAAAAAAGCUUUUGAAUGGAACAGCAUAGUGACUCUAGAGAAACGAAAGUUGCCAGCAUUACAGAAAAUAGACAACCUGGCAUUGAAACAUUUCAAAGAUUAUACUAAGGAGCUUGUAUUGGAUGUGGGAAGGAUGGAAAUCCAAAUAAGGAUUGAAAGAGGUCAACCUUAAGGCUAUCUACUGUUGACCCACCCCAUUCGUAAGAGGUCUGUAAGGCGUGUGCAUAAAUAAGAGCACCAGCAUCCCUACCGUCCCUAUUCUAAUGUUCCCUUUAAUUGUAUUCAUUUUAUGUAUUCCAUUCAUGCUUAUACUUAUAUACAUUAUCUAAUAAGUACUCAAUCAAUCAAUCAAUCAAUAAAUAUAAAUGCAACUCCUCUAGCCAUGUCACUGCAAAUGUAAACACACUGUUUAUUUAACACAGCAAGCUCUAGUCAAUCACUUUCUACUGUCAAGGAAAGUAUAAAUCAAGGACAGAUUAUUAAAAGUUGAUUCAAGCUUUGAGCAGGAAAGGCUAACAAAAAAUCCCAAAAAGGAAUGUUGCAAAGUUAAAUUUUCUUUAAAAGAACAACCUCAGAAGAAAUGGAUACAAACGUCAUGUUAUUCCCUUCAAAGGUAAGCAGUGCAAUGUAAAGUAUAAAAAAGGAGUAAGAAAUAGUAUACCAAAUAAAAUAAAGACAUAAAACUAAGAAAAAGAGAAAUAACUAAAUUCAGAUACUAUUCACUAUUAUGUCUCCAUUCUUUCUGUCUUGGUUUGCCCAUGUCCAUAUAUUGCUUUCUACAAUGCCUUUGUUUUUUUAACCUUUCCCCCCUAAAUCUCCCCCCUUUCACUCUUUCUUCAUACGUUUUACUAUUCAAUCCUUUUCCAAUUUUCCACAAUAACCAGGUCAAUGUACUUCUUUCAAAUCUCCUGUUCUUGUAUCCAUUGAUUCAUUCUCAAUUCUAUCCUUCCUUGUUUUACUACACCUCUUCUUAAAUACUCCAUUCCCACCAUAUUCAACUAAUUUUUUUAUUUCUUCUGAACUUCUAACUCUCACUUCCAAAUGCUAAACUAGGCCAAAACACAGCUUUUUUCAGUGAAAUUCAUGUUGCCCACUCCUUUCGUUCCAGCAUUUGUAUCUCUAUCUAUUUCCAAUUGAUUGAUUGAUUGAUUGAUUGAUUGAUUGAUUGACUGAUUGAUUGAUAUAGCCUUCCAUCUCAGAUACAUAUCUGAGUGGCUCAUAUAAUUAAAAAUAAAAACAAUUAUAAGUAAACAAAUAAAAACCACUCAAAACAAAUUAAAACAAUACAGAACCAUAAAACAUAAUUUGUGGCGGAAUAAUCCAUACAAUUGCUAAUAAUACAACCAUCUGACAGGCUCCAUUGGAUCUCCAGACAUGAUGACAAAACUAUGUCUUCAUGGCCUUCUGAAAAGCCAGCAAGGUUGAAGCCGGUUCAACAGGGGUUGGGCGGUACAAAAUGCUUUUCCAGAAGGUGGGUGCUACAGCAGAAGAGAUUUCUCCUCAUACAAAUCCACCUUGGCUUUUGAUACAUUUGCUUAGCUCAAAUAAUCUUAACUGCUAUUAUGCACACUCCUACUGCAAAACAUUCCAUAUUCACAUUAUUCACUAUGCUAUAAAUCAACACCUGUACAAUAAAAUUCCUUCUCACAUUCAUAUAUUUCUCAAUGACCUGCUAAAGAGCUUAGAGAGCCCUAGAGCACAAAGCCACACUAAUUCCAUUUUAAUCAUUGUCUCACAUCCUUUCAAUCAGAAUUUUGCACACACCUUCCCAAGCACACUUAACAAACCAAUCCCUAUCACUUUUUGCAUUUACUCUUCCUAUUUUUGCCUGUAUAUAUAAGGGUAUAUUAAUGUCAUCCAUCCCAUUCUCAGAGAUGGAUGGAACCUUCACAGGGCAUGAAGUAUUCCCUACUAAAAGUAAGGACCAUACCAGUCCAUUGUGGCAAAUUGCAGCAGUAUGCUAGAAGCGCAACUGAAGUUCAAUUUUAUCCCAAGAAUGUUUGUGCUCUUGUAUGCCAGCUAGAGGUGAGCAUUUAGAUUAGAAUUUUCAAAAUUAAUGGUAUGUUAUUUUGAAAGACAUAAUAUCUGUACUAUUUAUGAGUAUUCAUCAAAGUCAAUGUAUUUGUUGCACACUGAUUUUGAUAUUAUUUAUAAUUUCACAUUUGGAGCCUGAGUCCAUGGGAUACUGCACCUGUCAUUAUCUGGGUUAUGCAUCUUGAUCCCAGUGCAGAGCAAAUUAGUCAUGCCUAAUAAAAUAAGAGGGAUUUGAGUAGAAAAAACAUUAACUUACAUUAGGAUGUUUAAAACCCUCUGGUACAGAUGGUGAAGGAAUUCCUCUAUCAUUCGUACUCAGGCCUCCCAAUUGCAGUCCCCUUAUCCAAAGCCUGUUCAUUUGCCAAGAUUUUUACACCAUCUCCAUCACUUUCCAUCUUAAACACAGAGCUACACAGAGCUACACAGGGGUGGGUUCUACUUACCUUUACUACCGGUUCGCAUUCAUGCUCAUGCGUGCACUCUAACUCUGCUCGCAUGCACGCGCCCUCUUCUGCGCAUGUGCAGAUCGCUUUUGAUGACGUUUGGGUCAGUGGACAGAGCCUCCCGCCAGUUUUACUGCCGGUUCUAUAGAACCGGUCCGAACCGGGGGCAACCCACCACUGGAGCUACACUGUGCAAAGACUGAAAAAGUGGUUUCAGAUGAAGUCAAGGAACACUGCAAACAUUACAUUCAUCUAUUAUGUUUAUAAUAAGUACUUGUUCAUAAGUAUACUGGUUUUACUAGGACACAUUUCCAAAUAAUUUGGAAUGCAGUGACCGUUUUCAUAAAAUUAUUGGUUUGCUUGAAUGAAUUUAACUGCAGAAUUUGAAUGCCACUUAUUAAUAAAUUUGCGUAUUGCGCAAUUAAUAUAUUUGGAUUUUAUUGUGCAGGGUUUGUUAGCUUUAUAUUAAUGUUUCAUUUCCUUCCAAGCAUCCAGAGUUUUCAACAGGUGCACAUACAUCCUCUUGAGAAAGAGCUAGGUUAUGCUGGGUAAAAAUGCCAUUUAUUUUUGGUUUUUGUUUUUUGUUUUUUAAGAGUCACUGGCAGAUUAGAUUACUCCAGUGAUCUCAUCCCUCCACAUUCCACAUGCCAUUGCUUGUCUAAACAACAAGACUCUUUUAACUAGGUUUCCAUCACAACAGCAAAAGCAUUAUCCUCUUCCCAAAGUACAAGAAGGAAUUCAUUUCUCUUCAUAUUGAGAUUAGAAUCAAAAGUUACUGCUGUUUCCAGAAACCAAGAUCUGACUCGCUGGGGCUUUCUUUAACUCCAAAUUGCUUCCGCCCUUUGCGUUUCAAGGCAAGGCAUGGCUUAGCAUGAAGCAUUCUGUAAUGACUGAGGCACCUGGCCCCAUAUUUGUCAUUCUCUUGAGGUCAUCAGCCAGCUGUCUGUCCUCUCAACACUCAGCUUUGCCAAAACAGCCAGCGCAUUUUCUGCUGUGCUCAGGUUUCCAGGUCCGAAAUCCUCCAGAUAGAGCAAAUCAA